rnacentral:lncRNA from 1 species
CAUGUGUUAGUAAUAACUUCACGUGUGUCCCACAUCUUUGACGUAGUAUUUUGAAUCAUAACGUGAUCUCCAGGAAUGAGAGGGUUUAGAUUUGUAGAGGUGCAAUCUUAAUAUGCUUUGGCUGAAAGGUAUUUCUCUCUCUUCCUAUCCUCCGCCUCCUCAAAUCGGAAGGCGACUGGCAAGUGUAGACAAUGGACAUUGCAGAUCUGAGUGUAUUUCUACAUUCCAGGAGUGAUGAACGAAAUGAAGCAGAGUUGUUAAAUUUUUUAAGGAUCAUCUUCAUGGAUUUGACGGCAACCUCUGCAUGCCCCUUGGAUUAGGAUGAGAAUGGGUAUGCAAUCUCAUGUUUAAUACCUUAAUCUUUGCAGAAUUCCCCGAAUUCAGUCUGGAAUUGUGGUCAACCCUACGUUCGAAUAUGCAUUGGAAGCUGCCAAUCUUCAAACCACGUCAAUAUGAUAUCAGUGAUUGACUUAGUUGAAGUGUUUCGUAACUGACUUAUGAGGGGUCACCCUGAAUAGCAGUCGAUGACGACAAGAUAUGUUUUCCCGUUGACCUCCAUUAGAUGUAUCCCCCGUCCUCAAUACUGCCUUACAGAUGAUAGAUCCAUUUGGAGAGACUUGAAUGAUUUGAGGAAAAGAUUAAGAUUUGGAGUAGCGUAUACUAUGAUGUCUGUUUCGGAAACUUUUGAUACGAAGACAGAUGGCGCCCAUGCAUCUCAAGCUUGAAUUGUUUCCUGCUUUGAUUUAGAGUCUUUUAGUGGAGUGUAUUUCGAUGUUGUACUCCAAUACCAAGUUGUAAGAAAUAAAAGACUGCUAUAUCAGGCAGAGCUUUCAUGGUAGAAGGUUGGCCUAACCUUGGAUACACUUCAACCCCAAGAUAUGGAGUUAUUGAUCGAUUGAUAAAGUUUUCACUCGGAUUGUCGACGUUUUGAUUUGUUUGGCCUUGCUCUCCUAUGGCUAUUUAGCAUUAUGACAUUUAAAAGGUCGAUGUGAUGUAUUUGAUUAGCCACAUCUAUACCAUUUACGUUUAAGUUCCGGUGGAUGAUGAUGCUUCUUGUUUGUGGUCUAAUUUUGUGGUUGCCGUUGUCAAUCUUUGUAAGUAGACUGAGAGUUGCAACAUCUGCUUUUUUUCAUCUUUCAUACUACAACUCCCAGGCCAUAGCUAUCUGGAUAAGCUUUUCAGGAUUUGUCUCACUUUAACGGAGAAACUCUUUGCUUAGACGUAUAUUAUUUGUACCCAUAAUCAAGCAUAGGGUGUAUAAAUAGUCUUUAUCGAUACUAUUGAGCUAAGCUUCUCGUCCCUGUAGUCUAUGAAGGAGAUGCCAGUUUGAGACUUCUUCUCCCUGCAUUUGAUAACAUUGGAAGAAGACAUACCGUCUCGUUAGGAGGGAAAUUGUUAGAAGAACAUUGUUGUAUAUUUCAUCUAAAUAUCCUCUGAUGUCCAUUAUUGAAGUAUCGUGAGUUGUUGUGAAUGAUAAUAUACUCUGUAAUUUUAAAUUUAGACAACUUUGUAUAAAUUCAUGUUGCUCCGCUUUGCUCGUUUGUUCCAUCUUAUUUGUGCAAUAGUAGAGCUCGAAACUUGGCCGCCAUGAUCUGAAUUCCGCCAGUGUCGAGUCUUUCGUGAGUCUCUUUGGCUUCAAAUCAUUAU